CCGGCCAAAUCCGGUGAUAAUUUUUACACCAUUCUCUUCCUCUCUUCAUGAGCUUUCUAUUGAUAUAUGUUUCAAGACCUAUCAUCAAGUGUGUGUGACGAAUCGAAGGAGAGAAAAUUGAGUGAUUUUCCGGCUAUUUUUCAAAUUCCGACCAAACCGUCGACAUUUUGGAGAAACCCCAAGGUAAUCCGGUUGAGCAAGCUUCCGAGGACAUUCCCGAGACGAGACUCACCUAGUCACCCUUCAUUGUAGUAGAUUUUGCUGAGGUUGGACUGCACCACGUUGAGGCAUUCUCCUUAUCCACCAUCAUCCGUCUCGACUUGUAGGAUUUG